GCAGGCCACCCCCGGGGCGUCUUGAGAUGACAAGCGAUGGAAGCAUCCCUUAGAAGACAGCCUCGCCGGGGAGCUGCGGGAGACAGGCGGCACAAGCUGCACCCAGGAGCCGAGGGCCCUGGGACAGCAGAGCAGGCCAGGUGGUUGUAAGGGCAAAUUCCUCUGGAGGGAGGGAAGGAACAGGAGGAAGAGCCCCAGUCCAUACAGGAUGCGGAGGAUGGUCCCAAUCACCCAGGAAGCAGAACUGGAGCUCAGCCAGGUAACAACAAUGCUUUUUAUAUAUAAGAUAGGAGUUUCCAUAUCUCAAUACAGUUCUACUCUCAGGCAACUGAGCACUGGGAGUGACUUGGAGAUUAGAACCCCACG
rnacentral:lncRNA from 1 species